GACGUAGGGGGCGAGCGUUGUCCGGAUUCACUGGGCGUAAAGCGCGCGUAGGCGGCUCGUCGCGUCGGACGUGAAAGCUCACAGCUUAACUGUGAGUCUGCGUCCGAUACGGGCGGGCUAGAGGCAGGUAGGGGAGAACGGAAUUCCCGGUGUAGCGGUGAAAUGCGCAGAUAUCGGGAGGAACACCGGUGGCGAAGGCGGUUCUCUGGGCCUGUACUGACGCUGAGGAGCGAAAGCGUGGGGAGCGAACAGG
rnacentral:rRNA from 1 species